rnacentral:pre_miRNA from 1 species
GCGAGAGACUCACCAAGUCACCUGCUCCUCAGAUCAGAAGGUGAUUGUGGCUUUGACUAGAUACUAAGCAGCCACAGCACUGCCUGGUCAGAAAGAGCAAGUGUACUAGCCUUUU